ensembl:lncRNA
CCAGAACAGGAUGUGCUUGAGGGAUACUCACUUGUUGGGAAGCGCAGAUCUUCAGGAGCUACCUGAGGUUUCCCACUAGAGCCUCAGAUCUUGCACUGGCAGCACACGGGGACACAGAAGCUGGAUUGGGAGCAGCAGGGUUUGCAGCAGCUGGACUGGCAGCAGGAUGACCCACAGCCUGAGGAGCAGCAGGGUUUACAGCAGCUGGACUGGCAGCAGGGUGACCCACAGCCUGAGGAGCAGCAGGGCUUGCAGCAGCUGGACUGGCAGCAGCAGGGCUUACAGCAACUGCACUGGGAACAUCCACAAGAACCACAGCCUCCCUUAGAGCCACCACUAGAGCCACAGCCACAGCCUCCCUUGGAGCCCCCACAAGAGCCACAGCCCCCCUUGGAGCCCCCACAGGAGCCACAGCUGGAGCAGGAACAGGCUGGUACACAGCAGCACACAGGCUUGCAGCAGCAGACGGGCACACAGCAGCUAGAGCCACAGCCCCCACAACUGGAGCUGCAGCCCCCACAGCCAGAGCCACAGCCCCCACAGCCGGAGCCACAGCCCCCACAGCCGGAACCACAGCACCCACAACGGGAGCCACAGCCUCCAGAGCAGCCACAGCAGCCCAUGAUUCUGGUGGAUUGAGGGUGGAGCAGGUAGAGGAACAGCACACGGGGACACAGCAGCUGGACUGGGAGCAGCAGGGUUUGCAGCAGCUGGACUGGCAGCAGGAUGACCCACAGCCUGAGGAGCAGCAGGGCUUGCAGCAGCUGGACUGGCAGCAGGGUGACCCACAGCCUGAAGAGCAGCAGGGCUUGCAGCAGCUGGACUGGCAGCAGGAUGACCCACAGCCUGAGGAGCAGCAGGGCUUACAGCAGAUGGACUGGCAGCAGCAGGGCUUACAGCAACUACACUGGGAACAGCCACAAGAACCACAGCCUCCCUUAGAGCCACCACUAGAGCCACAGCCACAGCCUCCCUUGGAGCCCCUACAAGAGCCACAGCCUCCCUUGGAGCCCCCACAAGAGCCACAGCCCCCCUUGGAGCCCCCACAGGAGCCACAGCUGGAGCAGGAACAGGCUGAGACACAGCAGCACACAGGCUUGCAGCAGCAGACGGGCACACAGCAGCUGGAGCCACAGCCCCCACAGCCAGAGCCACAGCCCCCACAGCCGGAGCCACAGCCCCCACAGCCGGAACCACAGCACCCACAACGGGAGCCACAGCCUCCAGAGCAGCCACAGCAGCCCAUGAUUCUGGUGGAUUGAGGGUGGAGCAGGUAGAGGAACAGGUGAGAGGGAGGUACAGGUGUGGAGCCCCCAAGGCUGGGCUCUUUAUACACCUGUCUAGGGGUCAGGUGGGUCACAGGGGUCCUUCCUUGUUCCUCCUAAAAUUCUUUCCCAGGAAACUUGUGUGUCAUUUAAAAUAACAAAAAUACUGUGUUUCCUUGUGACACACUUCCUCUUCCUACGUGGUUUUCCGCUCUAAAUCCUCAGGGUCCAAGUCCUCCCCUCUGUGGACUCCCAGGAAUGAGUGGAACCUGGUCUGUUUCUGCCCCGCCCUCUGACCCCAGCCUUCUGCCCCUGUUUUCUCUUCCCUUCAGGGCACUGUUCUCACCUCCUGUGCUCCGCAGGGCUCUGUCCCCACCAGGCGAUGGGGUGCUGCGAAUUCCCUUUU